UACAGAGGUGGCAAGCGUUGUUCGGAAUUACUGGGCGUAAAGGGCGCGUAGGCGGCCUCUUUAGUCAGACGUGAAAUCCCCCGGCUUAACCUGGGAACUGCGUCUGAUACUGGGAGGCUAGAGUUCGGGAGAGGGAUGUAGAAUUCCAGGUGUAGCGGUGAAAUGCGUAGAUAUCGAGAGGAACACCUGCGGCGAAGGCGGGUUGCUGGGCCGACACUGACGCUGAUGCGCGAAAGCCAGGGGAGCGAACGGG
rnacentral:rRNA from 1 species